CUUGCUCCAGUUGGGGGUGUACGUUGAAGGUUGCUUCGCUCUGUCAGUAAUGAGGCUGAGUGCUUUUUCCUCUGCUCUGCGGGGUGGAAUGAGCCUGAAAGAACCGGUCAGCACCAGAUAGUCAGAUGUCCUGGAUGCUGAUGAUUCCUGAAUCUUCUGCAACAUUAGUUGAGUUGGUUCCGAAGUUAACUCAUUGCCAGAUUCUGGAACUCUCAGUUUUGCAUGGAGUGAAUAAAAUGAGAUUUAUGUGUUGAACCUGCCAUCUUCAGCUGGAAUUUAACCCUUGACUUCGUAAGUGUGGAUGCUAAACAUCCCUGCAGCUGGAAGAUGUGUGGACCUGUCUGCAACUCUC